rnacentral:lncRNA from 1 species
AAAGGGGCCUGACCGAGAACCUCAGCGGGUGGGAUGCGAAAAGCUGAGCUAAAGUCUGGCCUUGCAGCUCAGCAUCUCCCCUACCUCACCAGCCUGCUGGCCCUGAAGCUCCUGCAGUACUGCCUGGCCGAUGCCUGGGUAGCUGAGAUCGGCCUGGCCUUCAACAUCCUGGGGAUGGUGGUCUUUGCCUUUGCCACUAUCACGCCUCUCAUGUUCACAGGUAAAGUGUGUGGGCUCAGGGACAGCUUGUCCCAGAGGCACUGGGUAAGAACUGGGGGCCGGCCACUCACUGCCCCCAGAUGUGGUUCAUUCCUGUGUCUUUGGAAACAUAGUUAUGCCCCCAGCCUGCACUGGAGAACAGACAACUAAGAAAUCCCUCAAAAAUGCCAUCUUUGAUACAUGGAAAAUAUAGACCUUCAGUAGCUAAAGUAAUUAACCCACUGUUAUCAACCAUUAAUAUUGUUAGUAAUAUAGAGCAAAAGACAAAAGUGUGGCUCAUACACUAAUUGCUUUACCCCUUGGCCUCCCACCGCCUAUUCAUAUGUUCUUAAACAAAGUCCAUGCCAUUAAUGCCUGGUACUCACUUCUCUGAUAAG